UCUCAUUCCUUUUUCACAAUGACACCCCACUUUUUAAUUCUCAUCAUGCUGGCUGCCUUCUCCAAAGGUGGCUUUUCCCAGGUAGCUCUGACCCAAUCAGACCCAGUCGUGAAGAAACCAGGAGAAUCCCAUAAACUGACUUGCACUGUCACUGGAUUCAAUGUUAACAGCUACUAUAUGGAUUGGAUCAGGCAGAAACCUGGCCAAGGACUGGAAUGGCUUGUUCACUACUACACAUCCAGUAGCAACUAUUAUUCACCAACAAUCCAAGGACGGUUUACUGCCUCCAAGGACAGUUCCAACUUCUAUUUGCAAAUGAACAACCUAAAAGCUGAAGACACGGCUGUCUAUUACUGUGCAAGAGACACAGUGAAAUAG